rnacentral:rRNA from 1 species
AUUGAACGCUGGCGGCAGGCCUAACACAUGCAAGUCGAGCGAGCGGCGGACGGGGGAGUAAUGUCUGGGAAACUGCCUGAUGGAGGGGGAUAACUACUGGAAACGGUAGCUAAUACCGCAUACCAUCAGAUGUGCCCAGAUGGGAUUAGCUAGUAGGUGGGGUAACGGCUAACCUAGGCGACGAUCCCUAGCUGGUCUGAGAGGAUGACCAGCCACACUGGAACGGAGACACGGUCCAGACGCCUACGGGAGGCAGCAGUGGGGAAGAUUGCACAAUGGGCGCAAGCCUGAUGCAGCCAUGCCGCGUGUGGGAAGAAGGCCUGCGGGUUGUAAAGCACUUUCAGCGGGGAGGCGUUACCCGCAGAAGAAGCACCGGCUAACUCCGUGCCAGCCGCCGCGGUAAUAC